UACGUAGGGCUCGAGCGUUAUCCGGAUUUAUUGGGCGUAAAGCGCAUGUAGGUGGAUUCUCAAGUCGAACUUCAAAGUCCGAGGCUCAACUUCGGUUCUGGGUUCGAAACUAAGAAUCUUUGAGGACAGCAGGGGCAAGCGGAAUUCCCGGUGUAGCAGUGAAAUGCGUUGAUAUCGGGAAGAACACCAAUGGCGAAGGCAGCUUGCUAGGCUAUCCUGACACUCAGAUGCGAAAGCGUGGGGAG
rnacentral:rRNA from 1 species